UACGUAGGGUGCAAGCGUUGUCCGGAUUUAUUGGGUUUAAAGGGUGCGUAGGCGGUUUUUUAAGUCAGUGGUGAAAUGUGGUUGCUCAACAAUCAAAGUGCCAUUGAUACUGAGAGACUUGAGAGAAGUGGAGGCUUCCGGAAUGGAUGGUGUAGCGGUGAAAUGCAUAGAUAUCAUCCAGAACACCGAUUGCGAAGGCAGGAGGCUGUACUUUAUCUGACGCUGAGGCACGAAAGCGUGGGGAUCAAACAGG
rnacentral:rRNA from 1 species